rnacentral:lncRNA from 1 species
ACCAGAGGCACAGAAGAUAGAGGAAUAUCGUUGGAGGAGGCAUAAACCAAAGAGAUUGUAAAACACCUUCUAGACAUUCUUACUAUCUCAAGCUAUGUUUCCAUUACAGAAAGACCAUUCGCUCUCCUAGGCUAAUGUUUAUUGAAUGGUUUGCUAUAAUUGACUCACUAAUGAUGCAAUAGUAGAUCUUCUUUAAUCUGAUGUCCCUUAAUUAUUUUGUCUUUGGCUCACAAAGAGUUUGAGGGAGUCAAAUGACUGCUUCUGGUAGCCCACAGAAAUUAACCUUGAAAUUGAAAGAGGCUAGAGCUGGGAAUUUGUGGUUGAGAGUCCCAAUGAUAGCCAACAAUUUUUGUAUGCUCAACUUGUGCCAAUCUCAGUAAUGAGGCUUUCAUGGAUUAGCUCAUGUAAUUUUCACAAAAACUUCACAAAAGCUCUCUGAAGCAGGUGGUAGUAAUCCCCACAUUUUACAGGUGAGGAAACUGGCACAGACAAGAUUUUUGUAGCUUGCCAUAGGUCCCACAACUAGUCAUUUUUUACAGUGAGAUUCAAACAGAAGUCUUGGUGAUGUUUAAAUUGAGCUCUUAAUGCCUGAGGUAUUCUGCAGAGGUGAUUUCUAAGCCUUGAAUAUAGUGGAAAGCUGAGGUCACUUUUAUCUUAGAACAUGCCGCAUUCAGUGGAUGAGAGAAGUGAUGAGACAGCAAAGGACGUAGAAAGAAAGCCCCAUUAUGGUAACCAUGUAAGAGGGUUUAGAGGAGGAGAGAGUUAUUUUAAAAAGCUGCAGAGAAAUCAAGAAGAAGAAAUUAUUAGAUAGAUUAUGCAUCUUUGGGAACUUGGCCUCGAAAAGUUUUGAGUAGGACAUUUAAUCACAUCUCAGUAUGCCAUUCAUUUUUGAAGCUUCGGAUCAGUUUAUUUGUUGAUUAUCCUUGUGUAUUUAGUCUAGGACAAGAGUUUUGAACAUUUUUUUAGCAAAUGAGAGACUGACACUUUCUUCAUUUUUUUUGGUCCCAUUCCUUCCCUCCUCCAAAAUAAAUUAAUAAGUACAUAUAUAUAAAACAAAGGGGGGGGGAUAACAUGGUGUCUGCCUUACCGAGAACAAUAAGACUAGAAUUUUUUUUUUUUUAAAUCUUCCCCAGGAAGACUUAAAAGAAGGAACAUGCUCAAUUCUCAUAAAUAAAAUAUGACCUGGGCAAGGCUGUUCAUUUCCUUUUUUUUUUUUUCUCUUGGUGAUAGAGAAAUUGAAAUUGAAAAAGGGAGAGCAUAGAACAAACAUAACCCUCAGUUUUCCACUUCUGUGCAUUCUUUCCUGUUCUACAUUUUUCCUGCUGGUCAGGACAAAGUGCCACCACUGUUUUGACCAGCUGCUUUGGCAUGUUCCUAAACUGGUCUGUAGUAUUUGAUGUGGCUAAUCACCGCCUCCUCCUCAGAAGACUUUCUUCAUUGGACCCGGACAGUGCAGUCUUCCCAUGUUCCCCUCACCUCAUUGGCCGCCUGUGCAUUUCAUCCUCACCCACCUGACCUCUGAGCCUGUGGUACCCAGGCUUUCGUCCUCGGGCACCUUCUCUCUUUUGAUCUACAUCCAUUUCCCUUGGGAUCUCAUCUCAUGCUAGGGUUUAAAAUACCAUCUGAAGCUGUUGACUCCCAGAUUUAUUUCUCCAGCCUGGACUCCUCCAGUGAACUCCAGCCUUACAUGCUUUUAGCUUACUUGGCAUUUCUGUUUCUGUGUCACAUGGGAAUCUGAAAUUUAAAAUGUCCCAAACUGAGAUCCCAGUAUGUCACACCAUCUGUUCACUGACUGCAAUCCCUUGGUCUUCCUCAUUCUGAUAAAUGGCAACACCAUUCUUGCCAGUUGUUCAGACCAAAAAUUGAGGCACACUCUCUUUUUCUCACACCCAGAAGCAAUCCAUCGGCUUACGUUACUGGUUUUUCCCCCAAAUCAAUGUAACCAUUGCUCGUUUUCGGUGUUAAGUACUAGCCUGAUCUAUGCCAUCAUCAUUGCUUGCGGGGAUUAGUGAAUUAGGCUCCUAGCUGGUCUCAUGCCUGAUGCCUUGCUUUCCUCCCUCGUAACUAUAAUGGUCCUGUUAAAAUGUAAGUCACCUCAUAUAAACCUUCUGGUUCCACACUCUCCAGUGGUCAUUCAUGGAGAGCAAAACCCAGAAUUCUUUACAGUGGCUUGCAAGGCUCUACGUAGUCUGCCCCUACCGGUUGAUACUGAGAGCGUCUCCCGCAGCCCUCUCUGUGGAUCACUUCCUCUAGCCACACUGGUCUUCUUGAACUUACCCUUGAGCCUUUGAAUGUGAGUGCACGUGCACCAGCUGUCCCUGCGCGUCACCACCUUCAUACCUUUGAGUCUUCUCAAGCGUCACCAUCCCAGUGAAGCCUUUCCUGCUUAUCCUGUUUAUACUUGGCAUAUGCUCUACUUUUUGCUCUUUGUUUCCCUUAUCACGGUCUACAUUCUUGGAGAACAAUUUUUAAAAAUUUUUUCUAUCGCCCUCUCUACUUUAUCUUCCCUCUGGCUUAUUUCCUAACUCCUGCCACUAAGAAUGUAACUUACCCAAGGGCAAGAAUUUUUGUCUCUUUUGGUCACUAUUAUUUCCCCGUCACCUAGAAUGGUCCCUCACACAUGGCGAGGUCCUUAGAAAGUUUGAGUGAGUGGAUGACGUUUCAGAAAUGAUAGAAUCAGAGUAUGUUAGUAAAUGCGUCUUGAGAAUAAAAUUUUUCUCCUGCUUUCUAAGCUGUAGUCCCAAGAUGACGACUUUCUACCUCUGAACAAAGGUGCCUCUGAGUACCCAGAUCUUUAUCCCUAUGAACAGCCGUUGCCUAGUAGAGGCAGGGUGAUGGCAAAAGUGCAUAUUACCAUCUCCAAUUCUAUGGAGUCCCUAUGGCCCAGAAUGGUUUCAAAAUGCUAUUUCAUAAAGGCACACAAAUCCAGAGACCUUUGUCGUUUCCCUUAGUCUCUGCUGCAUUAGCUAAAGAUAAAUCUAUGCAGAGUUCACUGAAGAGAACAGACAACAGCAUUAAGCUGUGUAAUGAUGAACACUAAUGGCCUGUGACAAAGUGGGUCUCUCUAGGCUCAGCUGCCAUGCAAGGUGGGGAUUCUUCUCUCUUCUUGACAGUGGUAGUGAACAAACCAAACCAACAACAAUAUUGCAUCCAAACAUGCAAAGAAGCAACCUGCAAGCCAAGUUCAAGAGUUCAAGGUGAUUUUCAUGGUAUCUCUUUCUUUUUCCUUUUUCCUUUUUGUAAGCACAUGCCGCUUGGCUGUAAAAGGUAUGUGCGCUGUUGUACAGUGAUGGGGGACUGCGCUGUAUUAAGUAGAAAUGCUCCGACCUUUAUUCCCAGUAGCAACGUGAUACCGUUCUUUUGUUUCCUUUUUGGAGGCAUAGGCUUUGUCAUGCAAAUUGUUCAAUUGAGUUUUUUAGCUGCUUGUUAUUUUCACUCACAGACGCUUGUGAUAGUGAUUCAGAUUGGUCGAUUUCAUCUUCUGUGCAUUUCUUUUCCAUUCUUAAUUUAAGUGAGGAGCUUGUUUACUUAUGUGUCUUUCUCUUCCCCAUUAGACUUUCACAUGGGUAGCUGAGGGGUCUUGGCUAAAUUAGUCAACUUUUUCUAUUGCACAUGAUCCUUAGGAUCAAAUACACAUGGGUAGAAAUGCUUUAUGCACUACUGUAAACUUUUAAGUUAAUGAUGCCAGUGUGGCUAUUAGAACAGUGGAUCUCUAAGAUGCCUUUUAAUCUUAAAAUUAUUUUAAGAUUUCCCAAAGCAGUCUUUCUAGUAUAUUCUAUAAAUGUAAGUAAACGGAAUAUGGAAACAGAAAUCUUUCACGUUCAACUGUUAGAAAUCAUCGGUUUUACAUAUAUAUGUAAAGAGGUAUAGUUAGCCGUACUAUUGACGAAUCAGGCCUGGUCUAGGACUUUUUAGAACAUCUAUUCAGAAUGUCAGUAUGAGCUACACAUCCUGUAUUUUCAGCUUUGGCUUCUCAGAUAUUCAGAACACAUUUUACUCUACUGCAGGAUGACUCGACAACACGUUUCCUCCCUGCCCUCUGAAUCUCCGUGGAUGAUCUACCAAAAAAUAGCAUCUCCAUUUGUUACUGAAUAAAACCCUGCUAUGACUUGUGGCUAUAAAUCCAGUUUUAUUACCUUCUUCCAAAGUAAUUUCUGAUAAUUCAGCCAGACCUCUUACUUUUGCUUGCCGUUUUCAAGCUAGAUUCUUGAGUAAGAGGGCUAGCUCUAAUUUUAGUCUAAGAAGAAAGGAUUACAAGGCAAAUUUCAACACCCGGGUUUUGCUGCCUAAUCUACUAACUUUGUAUAGUCUAC